UCCACAGCUGUGCUCCAGGUGGGGAACACCUGUGGGUGCACCAGUGUGCAAAUACUCAGACUCCAGCAUGCAGAAGAGCCCCAGCUCCAUGCUGUUUCCAUAUCCAAGCCCAAGUUUGUCUAGAGCUUCAGCAAAUCCAAGCCUCCCUGAAUUUCCUGCAAGACCAGACUGAGCCCUACAACCCCCACUACACUGGUUAGCUGCCAGUCCCAGCCCCUGCUCCCUCCUGGGCCCCUGUCUGUACAGUUCUGAAGUCCUACAAGAAUGUUGAGAACCUAAGCUGACUCUCACCCAAAAAGGUAAACAACCAGGGGCCUCCAGGGGUAGAGAACAUACCCAGACAGGUUCUGCUGCCUGUAGGCUUGAUGUCCUUCCCCUACAACACACCAUGCUUGCCGGGCUGGAAGAGGGGCUCCAGAAACUUGGGAAACCUGGGCCUGUAGCUGGCAUGUGGAAAAGAGGCCUGGAAAAGCACACUCCUGUCCAUGAAGCCCCCAGAUGGAACCAGGUCCUGUUCAGAAACCCCAUCUGUGCCUCUGGAGAGACUGCCCUGAGCACACAGGCCCAGCAACCACCAUCUAUGGCCCCCAGGACCUAAUCCCCUUCUGCAUAGGGGUCAGUGCAUCUCACCGAAGAUGAAGUUGUCCGGUCUGAAGAUCUGCCCGAAGGGCCCUGAGCGCACAGAGUCCAUGAUGCCUGGCUCCAAAUCCACCAGCACAGCGCGGGGCACGUACCUGCCACCAGAGUGGGGCGGGAGGGCAUG
rnacentral:lncRNA from 1 species